rnacentral:lncRNA from 1 species
AUGUUUCAGUUACAUUUGACUACAUCAUUCACGAGAAUUCUCCACUGGGAUUAACGGCAAUCCUGCAACCACACAACGGAUUCAUCAACAUCUUUGGUUUCCGAACAUCUUCGUUCCUCAUAAUCCGGAUGAAAAAAAAAUGUCGAACUUAUCAAAUCUUAAAUUCACUGUACUUGAAAUCUCGGGCAACAACUACCCCUCUUGGGCUUUUGAUGCUAAAACUCAUCUGGAAGC